ACAUACUUCUUUCUUUUUAAGUAGGUUUAUCUGGGUCACUAUUAUAAAGAACGUGUUGUCUUUUGUAGUCUGCUGGUGCUGUCGUCACCCAGAGCCAGCCGUACAGAAAACGAGCUGGUGUCCUUGAGUAAUGAAGAUUAUGCGGUGUAUGUGAGACACGCUAUUCAGGGGUGUGACCGUCCUGCUCCUCCUGGAGUUCUACGUCUGCUUCCUGGUGUCCUGUGUGUGUUCCUACACGUCACCUGGUCCAGGUACGUGUGUGUGUGUGUGUGUGUGUGUGUGUGUGUGUGUCCUGUGCCUGC
ensembl:lncRNA